GCAAUUUUUGGACCUCUGAGCGUUGAGAUAUGGGCUAUAAACCGAAACAGUCUUUGCAGUGCAGGAAUUUCGGGCUGGUUCAAUCCUUGUUUUUCAACUCGCUUUUUGGGCUUCGAAACAACAAAACUGAGUUAUAUGUCCUUCAUAUGUUUUGUAGACCUUCAUCUCAGCUAUUUGAAAAUGGUUACGAACAUCCGGAACUAAAUUGUAUAGCUUCUUUGCAGCACAUAAUGAAUCACUGUUCAGUUUCACUGCCCGGCUCUGCCUGUUCAGUAACCUAAGAUCUGAAAACACAUUAAUUUCCCACGAGGUCAAUAGUUCAAAAAGAGAUUCAAAAUUCUAAUUGUCUUGUGCAACAUAUCCAAAAUAUUUAAAAAUCAAGCAUGAAUAGCAGAAAAUAUACAUGCUAAAAAUUCCCUUAUCAAAUACCCCCAAACUUGAAUGUUUGCUUGUCCUCAAGCAAAAAGGAAACCAUGAAAGCAUAGUGCUAAAAGCUCAUGAUAAGUUCAACUUUGACAUUUAAAAGGCUCCAUCAUGCAGCAUUCACUUCUUGACUUAGCUCAUAGACAAUAUUAGAUAAUGGAAAACUAAGCAUUCCUACUCUCUGUGCAGACCGUUGUACAAACUUCCAACUCAUCCAUGUGUUUCAUGUGUUUAGCAUCCUUGAACCGUGCACAGUCAUUCUGCCAUUAUUUUUUUUUUUUUGAACAAGGUAGCCAACUUUAGGAGUAAUAACACACUUUUACUUGUCUUUUGACAAGGGUGAUUUUUUUAAAUUUAUCACUUGUCUUUUGACGCGAAUACAAACAUUUGUGAUGAAUGCACCCGGUUACUUAACAGGUCAUAAGCUUAAAAUGCUUUGCAUACUCAUAUUUUAAAGCUGCCGUUUGACGUAAAAGUAAACAUUUGUGAUGAAUACUCCUAGUUACUAAGCAACUCAAAACAUUGGAGUAGAUACACAUCAUAUACUUAUUCAUUCACUUUCAUACUCAUUAUCACUCCUUGUUUUGAUAUUUUUCUUAGAGGGUAAUAACAAAAAAGAACAGCACACUUAUCUCUUAUGCAUAACUACACAAUUCACCUGACUAUGCUGGAAAAGUGUACUUCAAUAAUUCAACAGAAAAUAGUCAUGCUUAAUCCAACUUUAUAAGAUAUUAUCCACUCUAAGCCUAGGAAUAUCAUGGAUACAUCAUGAAGCACCUAAAAAUGUCAAAGUUGGUCUUAAAUGCAUAUCACUUUUCACCCUCUGUUUUCAUGGUUCCAGUGUGCAGUGUUCUUUCAUAGUCAAAGCAUGCAAUGUCUCCCCCAAACUUAAAUAUCACAGUCCUCAAUGGAAAAACAAAGAAUAGAAAGGCUUACGAAUACUUCCUUUUGACUAUGUGGGUGUGAGUUUGUUGCUGCUCCUGGUUAUUUGCUUGUAUGAUCAAUCCCUGCACAACUCAAUAAAACAAAUAAGGUUUUUUUUUUUUUUGGGUUGCCUCCCAAUCAGUGCUUAGUUAUAGUCAUUAGCUUGACUUUUCCAUUUAGCUAAGAUGAAGUGAGAGGGAUAUCAUCCCUUUUUCCAAUAGACUCUCCAUUCCUAUAAUGCUUCAGACGCUGCCCAUUCACUGUGAAUGUUCCCUUUUCAUCAUGAGUGACCUCUACUGCUCCAUAAGGAAAUACUUUCACAACCGUAAAUGGUCCUGACCACCGUGAUUUGAGCUUACCAGGAAACAAGCGGAGCCGUGAAUUGAAAAGUAAUACCUGCUGACCAGGGACAAACUCCUUGCGUACAAUGUGUUUGUCAUGCCAUGCCUUGGUUCUUUCAUUGUAUAUCUUGGCAUUCUCAUAGGACUCAUUGCGAAAUUCAUCCAUCUCAUUAAGUUGCAGGAUUCGUUUCUCACCUGCAACCUGCAGAUCUAUGUUCAGUUGUUUCAUUGCCCAGUAUGCCUUAUGCUCUAAUUCAACAGGAAGAUGGCAUGCUUUUCCAAAAACUAAUCGAUACGGAGACAUUCCCAAUGGUGUUUUUAAUGCUGUCCGAUAUGCCCACAAUGCAUCAUCUAGCUUUCGUGCCCAAUCUUUCCGAGAAUUACUUACUGUUUUCUCUAAGAUUUGCUUCACCUCUCUAUUUGAUACCUCUGUUUGGCCAUUUGUCUGAGGAUGAUAAGCCAAUGCUCGUUUGUGUCUGACUCCAUACUUAGAUAGCAGUGCUUCAGACUGCUUGUUGCAAAAAUGAGUUCCUUCAUCACUGAUGAUGGCUCGAGGAGUACCAAAUCUGGUAAAGAUGUUCUUUCGUAGAAAAUUAAGUACCACCUUGCCAUCAUUUGUAGGCGUUGCAAUUGCCUCGAUCCACUUUGAUACAUAAUCCACUACUAAGAGAAUGUAUUUGUUGUUAUAUGAUGAAGGAAAAGGUCCCAUGAAAUCGAUGCCCCAAACAUCAAAUAAUUCAACUUCUAAGAUAUUCUGCAGUGGCAUUUCAUUUCGUCGAGAUAUAUUCCCAGUAUGCUGACAUCUAUCACAAGCAGUAACAAAAGCAUGAGCAUCUUUAAACAUAGUGGGCCAAUAAAAACCUGACUGCAGAACUUUGGCUGCAGUGCGCUGUGUUCCAAAGUGCCCCCCAUAUUCAAGUGUGUGGCAAUGCUUCAAUAUGUUUGUCAUUUCUUCUUCUGGAACGCACCUCCUGAUGACUUGAUCUGCACAAUGCCGAUAGAGUAUCGGCUCCUCCCAGAAGUAGUGUUUGACUUCAGAAAAAAAUUUCUUCUUUUGCUGGUAAGAAAAAUCUGGCGGUAUGAUUUUACCUGCAAGAAAGUUGACAUAAUCUGCAUACCAAGGAAAGAAUUUGUUAGUGGAAAUUGCUAAGAGUCUUUCAUCAGGAAAACAUUCAUUUAUAACCGUGAAUUUAGGCUCCAGCUGCUGUGUCAAUUCCAGCCUUGAAAGAUGAUUUGCCACCACGUUCUCAGUCCCCUUUUUAUCUUUAAUUUCUACAUCAAAUUCUUGCAGUAAUAGGAUCCAACAGAUGAGUCUAGGCUUGGCAUCUUUCUUAGACACUAGGUGUCUAAUUGCAGCAUGAUCAGUAUACACCAGCACUUUGUUUCCCAUCAGGUAAGGCCGAAACUUAUCAAAUGCAUAGACCACAGCAAGCAACUCUUUCUCGGUUGUGGCAUAAUUGAGCUGGGCAUCGUUGAGUGUUCUGCUGGCAUAGUAUAUGGUGUGAAACACAUUAUUUUUCCGUUGCCCCAGUACUGCUCCAACUGCAUAAUCACUUGCAUCACACAUAAGCUCAAAUGGUUUCUCCCAAUCCGGUGCAAUUACAAUAGGAGCUGUCACUAACUUCUUUUUCAACAACAUAAAGGCUGUCUUGCAUUCCUCAUCAAACUGAAACUUUGUGUCUUUUAGCAGCAGACUGCAUAGCGGUUUGGAUAUUUUAGAGAAGUCUUUGAUGAACCUCCUAUAAAAUCCCGCAUGACCAAGGAAACUCCUAACCCCUUUUACUGUAGUUGGUGGCAAAAGCUUAUCUAUUGCUUCAAUUUUAGCUAUGUCUACUUCUAUUCCUUUUUCUGAAAUCCGGUGCCCCAAUACUAUACCUUCCUUUACCAUGAAGUGACAUUUUUCCCAGUUCAAUAUCAAGUUUGUCUUUUCACAACGCUCCAAAACCAACGCCAACUUUGCAAGGCAGUCAUCAAAAGAAGUUCCAAAUACAGAAAAGUCAUCCAUGAAGAUCUCAAUGAUUUGCUCCACCAUAUCUGAAAAAAUAGCCAUCAUGCACCUCUGAAAGGUAGCUGGUGCAUUACACAACCCAAAAGGCAUUCUUCUGAAAGCAAAAGUACCAUAAGGGCAUGUGAAAGUGGUCUUCUCCUGGUCCUCAGGUGCGAUGGCUAUUUGGUUGUAUCCUGAAUAGCCAUCUAGGAAACAGUAGUAUUCAUGCCCAGCUAACCUGUCCAGCAUCUGAUCAAUGAAUGGUAGGGGGAAGUGAUCUUUGUGAGUUGCCUUGUUGAGCUUUCAAUAAUCCAUGCAAAUCCUCCAUCCAGUUACCGGUCUAGUAGGUAUCAAGUUGUUGUUUGCAUCCUUUACCACUGUCAUUCCUCCUUUCUUUGGCACAACUUGAACUGGGCUCACCCAUGAGCUGUCAGAGAUUGGAUAAAUAACACCAGCAUCUAACCAUUUCAGAACUUCUUUUCGGACUACCUCUUUCAUGGUCGGGUUAAGCCUUCUCUGAUGUUCUACUGUUGGCUUGACUUCAUCCUCCAACAGAAUUUUAUGCAUGCAAAUAGAGGGACUGAUGCCUUUGAUAUCUGCCAAUACCCACCCGAGAGCUGCCUUAUGUUUUCUCAACACCCUCAACAAUUUUUCUUCCUCUGUUUUGGUCAGCUUUGCAGAGACUAUCACAGGAUAGGUGGAAGCUUCUCCAAGAUAUGCAUACCAAAGGUGUUCUGGCAGAGGUUGCAAUUCCAGAACCGGUGCUUGUUCACUGGUUGAUUUUAUUUUUGGUGCUGGUUGUCCCAAAUCUUCAAAGUAUCUUCUGCGGUUAGGUUCAAAAGAGUCCAUCCAACAUGUAUAUUUUGCUAUUUCAGCAUCCUCUUCCAAUACAUUAUUUACCAAACAUGCUUCCAACGGGUCAGUUGGAAGCUUGACUUUGUCAUUAAUUAAAGAGUCCACCACUUAAAUGCUGAAGCAACUCUCCCCAAUAUCUGGCUGUUUGAUGGCUUUGAACACAUUGAAAAUCACCUCCUCUUCAUUCACCCUUAACCGCAGCUCCCCUUUCUUCACAUCAAUUAAGGCACCUCCAGUGGCCAAGAAUGGCCGGCCAAGCAAGAUAGGAAUCUCAUUAUCCUCCUCCAUAUCCAGAAUGAUGAAGUUUGCUGGAAAGAUGAACUUGCCCACUUUCACCAGUACGUCUUCAAUUAUUCCCCUUGGAUGCUUCAAUGACCUGUCAGCUAGCUGUAGUGUUACUGUGGUUGGCCUUGCUUCACCUAAACCAAGCUUCUUAAAAAUAGAUAAAGGCAUGAGAUUAAUACUUGCACCUAAAUCACAUAAAGCUUUUUCAAAUAUAGAAUUUCCAAUGGAACAUGGUAUAGUAAAACUCCCUGGAUCCUUAAGUUUAGGAGGCAGUUUCUUCUGUAAAAUGGCACUGCAUUCCUCAGUAAGAGCAACAGUCUCAUAUUCCUCUAGCUUUCUUUUGUUUGAGAGGAUGUCCUUCAAAAAUUUCACAUAGCUUGGCAUUUGUUCAAGAGCAUCUGCAAAAGGAAUGUUAAUCUGCAAUUUUUUAAACACAUCAAGAAAUUUAGAAAAUUGCUUAUCAAGUUUAUUCUUCUUGAGACGUUGUGGAAAUGGAAUUCUCUGCAUUAUUUCUUGCGUUGGUUCUGGCAGAGGAUCAGAUUUUUUCAUAUUCUGAAGUGGUUUGGCCACUUGCUCCUCCUCUUCUCUUCCUGCACUCUUGUUUCCAGCGGUCUGCUCCACUUCUUUUCCACUUCUUAAAGUUAUGGCCUUGCAUUGCUCCUUAGGAUUAAUUUCAGUUGUGCUUAGUAGAGUUCCUUGUUGUCUACCCGUGAGCAUGUUGGCUAACUGACCAACUUGAACCUCCAAAUUUCAAAUAGAAGCUGCUUGGUUCUGCAGAUUAGUAUUUGUUUCAGUCAUGAAUCUGCUGGUGUUGUUUGCUAAUUGUGUCAUAGCUUCUUCAAGUUUAGAUUUCUCUUUCAUGUGCUCACUUGAAGAUGGCAUAGCUGGAUUCUUCAUGACAGUUUGAUUGUUCCAUGAGAAAUUAGGAUGAUUUCUCCAACCGGGAUUAUAUGUUGCACUGUAGGGGUUAAUCUGCCGGCUGUAGUUUGACACAAAAUGAGCAUGCUCUGCUUGAGAGAACGGGUUCCCAACCUGACACUCUUCACUUGUGUGAUUUCCAUGGCAAAAAUCACACGUUGUAUGGAUGGCAUUUGCUAACAGUUGAGUGGUUUUCAGUUGCUGAGUUAGUGAAUGGACUUGAGCUGUUAAUGCCGUGAUUGCAUCAAUUUCGUGCACCCCAACAGUCUUCUUCUGUAUGCUUCUUUCAUUUGGCCAUUGGUAAUUGUUCAUAGCCAUUUCUUCCAAUAAGUUGUAAGCAUCAUCCUGUGACUUACUCAUAAAAGCUCCUCCUGAAGCUGCAUCAAUUAGUGUUCUUGUGGAGGCAUUCAAUCCAUUGUAAAAAUUCUGCACCUGCAUCCACUUCGGUAGUCCAUGGUGGGGACAUCGCCUGAGCAAAUCCUUGUAUCUCUCCCAUGCCUCAUACAAUGGUUCACUCUCAAGUUGGGCAAAGUUAGCUAUCUCAAUGCGCAUUUUUGCUGUCUUGGCUGGUUGAAAAAAUUUAGCAAGGAAUUUCUGAGCUAAAUUUUCCCAGCUGAUAACUGAAUCUGCAGGCAUGGAGUUUAACCAGUUCUUCGUUCUAUCUCGCAGAGAAAAUGGAAACAGUCUGAGACGAAUGGCAUCAUCAGUAACGCCAUUAUGCUUAAAUGUGUCGCAAAUUUCCAAGAAACUUGCAAUAUGGGCGUUAGGAUCAUCACUUGGCAACCCAUAAAACUGAAUUGAGGUCUGAAUCAUUUGCAGUAUUGCUGGUUUGAUCUCAAAAUUAUUGGCCUCAAUCCUUGGUUUCCUGAUAACAGAACGGAUUCCUGUCACCUGUGGGAGAGCAAAAUCUCUCAAUGCCCGUGUGUCUUGCUCAGGAUUUUCAUUGUUUGCCAUGAAGCCUGAACUGUUUUGAAUUUCUCGCGUUUUCUUUCUUAAUCCCCUUGCAGUUUUCUCAAUCUCAGGAUUAUAAGGUAGCAACGGAUGGUUUUUGUUGCUUCUCAUGCACUAGACAACACACCUAAAGAGCUGAAGACAAAAGGCAAUCAAAUUAGAUCAAAUUUAAUUUAUAUUGAUAUUAUUAGUAAUUUUAUCUAAAAUCCCCGGCAACGGCGCCAAAAACUUGUUGGUUAAUUUCGCAAGUGCACGAAUCGUAACAAGUAAUAAAGUGAUAAGUAGAGUAUCGUCCCACGAGGAUUUGUAAAAAUUACUACUAAUUACCAAAGUCUUUUAAAUUAUGAUCUAUUUGAGGAAUCGAAUGAGAUAGUUUAUGAAACAAAAAUUAAUGAUUAAAAAAAAAACAAACAACCAAAUGAUUAAAUAUUAAUUAAUUAAAUUGUACUGGUUCUAGGAUUUAUGACUUACCGUAACUAUGCCUAUGUGAACUUUCUCGAUUAAAUUAAUUACUCCUAAUGUUGAUAAUCAGGUUUUCCUAAUGUAAAUAUUAAUCUCUCUCGAGCAUCAAUAAAUUAUUUCGACAAACAAAUUUCAUAUACUCUACGAAAGUUCUGAACUUGUCGAAAUUAAUUAAAUACUGUAAAACCUGUAACGAUUACAAAAGUUCCUAGGAUAUCUCUAUCCUAUAGAUUUCUUAAGGUAUUUCAAACAAUAGCUAAAACAAUUAUCACUUCUCAGUUUCAAAUUGAAUUCUAAAUCAUGCAGAUGUUGGCCAAACACACGCAAGCAUUACACAUAGAAUGAAAUACUCAACAUCUUAAUGUAAUAAUUCAAUCGAAGAAAUUGUUCACAUAUUCAUAGUAAGGUUACAUCAAAAAUCCCAGAAUAAAAGUCUACUCCAUAGUUAAAUCAAAGAGAAACAAACUUGAUACGAUGAACAUCACUCAAAAGCAGAGAAUUUCAGUGGAAGAGAUAGGUGUCCUCCCGGUCUUCAAUAUUUUUGCCUCUGUUCUUGGUGUUCCUGUUGGUGCCGCCUCCUCUGUUUUUCUUUGCUAUGUUCAGGGUUUCUAAGUGUCUCCCCUCCUCUGUUUUUCUGACCCGUAACUCUUCUUUUAUAUUGUGGCUUUUCUACCCCUGCAGUAAUGAGGAAAAUUUCCUUUUCUGCAUUGAUUUCUCCUACACAGACAUUGCGGGCCAGAUUUGAGGUAGGAAACGUGCGAAUUCAAAGAUCUCUAUUUCUGGAGAAAUUGUAGAGAAUCAAAUUUUCUUUCCAACGACACUGAUCUUGAAAUUUGUUGACCUCUGAGCGUUUAGAUAUGGGCUAUAAACCGAAAUAGUCUUUGCAGUGCAGGAAUUUCGGGCUGGUUCAAUCCUUGUUUUUCAACUCGCUUUUUGGGCUUCGAAACAACAAAACUGAGUUAUAUGUCCUUCAUAUGUUUUGUAGACCUUCAUCUCAGCUAUUUGAAAAUGGUUACGAACAUCCGGAACUAAAUUGUAUAGCUUCUUUGCAGCACAUAAUGAAUCACUGUUCAGUUUCACUGCCCGGCUCUGCCUGUUCAGUAACCUAAGAUCUGAAAACACAUUAAUUUCCCACGAGGUCAAUAGUUCAAAAAGAGAUUCAAAAUUCUAAUUGUCUUGUGCAACAUAUCCAAAAUAUUUAAAAAUCAAGCAUGAAUAGCAGAAAAUAUACAUGCUAAAAAUU
rnacentral:lncRNA from 1 species